UGAACGCUAGCGACAGGCUUAACACAUGCAAGUCGAGGGGCAGCACAGGUAGCAAUACCGGGUGGCGACCGGCGCACGGGUGAGUAACGCGUAUGCAACUUGCCUAUCAGAGGGGGAUAACCCGGCGAAAGUCGGACUAAUACCGCAUGAAGCAGGGGCCCCGCAUGGGGAUAUUUGCUAAAGAUUCAUCGCUGAUAGAUAGGCAUGCGUUCCAUUAGGCAGUUGGCGGGGUAACGGCCCACCAAACCGACGAUGGAUAGGGGUUCUGAGAGGAAGGUCCCCCACAUUGGUACUGAGACACGGACCAAACUCCUACGGGAGGCAGCAGUGAGGAAUAUUGGUCAAUGGGCGUAAGCCUGAACCAGCCAAGUCGCGUGAGGGAUGAAGGUUCUAUGGAUCGUAAACCUCUUUUAUAAGGGAAUAAAGUGCGGGACGUGUCCCGUUUUGUAUGUACCUUAUGAAUAAGGAUCGGCUAACUCCGUGCCAGCAGCCGCGGUAAUACGGAGGAUCCGAGCGUUAUCCGGAUUUAUUGGGUUUAAAGGGUGCGUAGGCGGCCUUUUAAGUCAGCGGUGAAAGUCUGUGGCUCAACCAUAGAAUUGCCGUUGAAACUGGGAGGCUUGAGUAUGUUUGAGGCAGGCGGAAUGCGUGGUGUAGCGGUGAAAUGCUUAGAUAUCACGCAGAACCCCGAUUGCGAAGGCAGCCUGCCAAGCCAUUACUGACGCUGAUGCACGAAAGCGUGGGGAUCAAACAGGAUUAGAUACCCUGGUAGUCCACGCAGUAAACGAUGAUCACUAGCUGUUUGCGAUACACUGCAAGCGGCACAGCGAAAGCGUUAAGUGAUCCACCUGGGGAGUACGCCGGCAACGGUGAAACUCAAAGGAAUUGACGGGGGCCCGCACAAGCGGAGGAACAUGUGGUUUAAUUCGAUGAUACGCGAGGAACCUUACCCGGGUUUGAACGCAUUUUGACAGCUCUGGAAACAGAGCCUCUAGCAAUAGCGAUUUGCGAGGUGCUGCAUGGUUGUCGUCAGCUCGUGCCGUGAGGUGUCGGCUUAAGUGCCAUAACGAGCGCAACCCUUGCCACUAGUUACUAACAGGUAAAGCUGAGGACUCUGGUGGGACUGCCAGCGUAAGCUGCGAGGAAGGCGGGGAUGACGUCAAAUCAGCACGGCCCUUACAUCCGGGGCGACACACGUGUUACAAUGGCGUGGACAAAGGGAGGCCACCUGGCGACAGGGAGCGAAUCCCCAAACCACGUCUCAGUUCGGAUCGGAGUCUGCAACCCGACUCCGUGAAGCAGGAUUCGCUAGUAAUCGCGCAUCAGCCAUGGCGCGGUGAAUACGUUCCCGGGCCUUGUACACACCGCCCGUCAAGCCAUGGGAGCCGGGGGUACCUGAAGUCCGUAACCGAAAGGAUCGGCCUAGGGUAAAACUGGUGACUGGGGCUA
rnacentral:rRNA from 1 species